CAGCCCUUAAAACCAUGACUCUUGGUCAACAGGGUUGUAAGGUAUUUGGACGACUCUUACGCCUAUGGGAUGCAAUAAACAUGAAAUCCAAGUUUGCAGAUCCUCUCAUCAGCAUUGAUGGUGUCCUUUUAGAUGAAGAUGGCAAUAUGGCGCAAAUCAGUGUACCCAAAAAAUUUCAAAGACAAUUCCGCCCCUUACUCACAGAAGGACAUGUCUACAUCUUAUGAUAUUGCAGCUGUUGAUAUAAAAAACAAAACCCAUAUAUAUCACCACCAAAACUAUAUGUUGCAAUUCAAGCACAACACUAAGGUUCACCGACUUGAAACCAGAGGAACAAAUAUACCAAAGUUUUCCUUCAAUUUUUGUCCAUUUGAUAAUCUACCAGAAAAAGAUACUUUUGCAAAACCACUUCAAGAUAUAAUAGGAGUCAUUAGCCAUUUGAUUAUGCAAGUCAGACAUGUACAAAUUAACUCAGGAAAAUCAAAAUUCAAAACCUAGA